rnacentral:lncRNA from 10 species
CACAGGGCUAUACUUCCAUCAUCUCCAUACUUGCUGGGAGAUUGAGUAAUUGGUGUCUGGAUGUGCGUGUGCUGCUUCCCAAAAUACCUCUUUAAAAAGACGUGAGAGGGAUGCGGAGCCAGUAGAAAUGACUGAUUUUGAAGAUUGAGAAUUAGGAAUAUUGUACAGAUGCUGUCAUUCCUACAUGAAGGAGGCAGAAGAAUGUAGCAAGCUCAGCUCUCUAAUGCCAGGAGUGGCACUUUCAGUGACCAGAGCUCCCUGGGUCCUCUGUGUAUCCCUCCCCUGUCAACUGAUUCAACAGAGGCUGGGCUGGUCCUGGCAUUAGCACAUUUUUGAAUCUGCCUUUGGCUGUGACUUCACCCAAAGACAGAAAGGGGAAGUUUCUGGUCUACAUAGCCAACAUGUGGUCUUGAUAAUAAAUCAUUGCUUGUUUGGAAGAAUUUGGUCUGAGCCUUACUUUUAUUGUAAAACACUACCUGUAGAUGGCAGAUGGGGCAUGGGACCUUUAGGCCUUAUCCAGCUCUAAACAUGGGAGGCUACCAAAGACUCUGACGUUUGGCAAAUGGCCAAAUUUGCAGAGAU